rnacentral:rRNA from 1 species
GAUCCUCGGAAGAGGACCUAUGUUUUUUCACAUCACACACCGUCGUAUGUCUAUAGAAUGUAUUGAAGACUUGUCCGGAUGGACGGGUUGGAUAAAUAUAUAAAUCAUACAACUUUCAGCAACGGAUCUCUUGGCUCUCGCAUCGAUGAAGAACGCAGCGAAUUGCGAUAAGUAAUGUGAAUUGCAGAUUUUCAGUGAAUCAUCGAAUCUUUGAACGCACCUUGCGCUCCUUGGUAUUCCGAGGAGCAUGCCUGUUUGAGUGU